rnacentral:rRNA from 1 species
GUGCUUAACACAUGCAAGUCGAACGGAAAGGCCCCUUCGGGGGUACUCGAGUGGCGAACGGGUGAGUAACACGUGGGUGAUCUGCCCUGCACUUUGGGAUAAGCCUGGGAAACUGGGUCUAAUACCGAAUAGGACUCCGGACUGCAUGGUCUGGGGUGGAAAGCUUUUGCGGUGUGGGAUGGGCCCGCGGCCUAUCAGCUUGUUGGUGGGGUGAUGGCCUACCAAGGCGACGACGGGUAGCCGGCCUGAGAGGGUGUCCGGCCACACUGGGACUGAGAUACGGCCCAGACUCCUACGGGAGGCAGCAGUGGGGAAUAUUGCACAAUGGGCGCAAGCCUGAUGCAGCGACGCCGCGUGAGGGAUGACGGCCUUCGGGUUGUAAACCUCUUUCGCCAGGGACGAAGCGCAAGUGACGGUACCUGGAGAAGAAGCACCGGCCAACUACGUGCCAGCAGCCGCGGUAAUACGUAGGGUGCGAGCGUUGUCCGGAAUUACUGGGCGUAAAGAGCUCGUAGGUGGUUUGUCGCGUUGUUCGUGAAAUC